AUCCUGCCCAUGCACUGAGAAUAGGGAUUGCAGAGCUUGCUCCCUGCCUCUAGUAAAAGCUUUGCAAGCACAGUCAGAAGCCAGAGCAGGCCUGAUGUCGUAGCCAGGGAGUACAGCGAACCCACGGCCAAGCCUUUUUGGCACUAUGAGUCCCAAUAAAAGACAACAACAGCUUAAAUUAAAGGUCCAACAUUCUACUGUGUUCCAAAUAUCUCCAGAGCUGUUGAAGAUCAAUUUCCUUACACAGAGCUCCAAAUCCACUGCAUACCAUUAAGGAAAGAAAAAAAUGUCCAACAUAAGUAUAGUUACCUCAACUUCCUCAGUGAGUGGUUUGUCACAAGUCGCAUUAUUUUUAGCAUCCCGCCGAGGAAAAUCUUCAGAAUCCUGACAACGGAGUAUGCUGAGCUGGAUGCAAAGCCACUGGGGUUGCCCAGGAGUUAAAAAAAAUUA